rnacentral:rRNA from 2 species
GUUGUUGGGUAGGGGAGCGUUCUGUAAGCCGUUGAAGGUGUGCUGUGAGGCAUGCUGGAGGUAUCAGAAGUGCGAAUGCUGACAUAAGUAACGAUAAAGCGGGUGAAAAGCCCGCUCGCCGGAAGACCAAGGGUUCCUGUCCAACGUUAAUCGGGGCAGGGUGAGUCGACCCCUAAGGCGAGGCCGAAAGGCGUAGUCGAUGGGAAACAGGUUAAUAUUCCUGUACUUGGUGUUACUGCGAAGGGGGGACGGAGAAGGCUAUGUCAGCCGGGCGACGGUUGUCCCGGUUUAAGCAUGUAGGCGGAGGUUCCAGGUAAAUCCGGUACCUUAUUAACGCUGAGGUGUGAUGACGAGGCACUACGGUGCUGAAGUGAUAAAUGCCCUGCUUCCAGGAAAAGCCUCUAAGCAUCAGGUAACACGAAAUCGUACCCCAAACCGACACAGGUGGUCAGGUAGAGAAUACCAAGGCGCUUGAGAGAACUCGGGUGAAGGAACUAGGCAAAAUGGUGCCGUAACUUCGGGAGAAGGCACGCUGAUGUGUAGGUGAAGUCCCUGCGGACGGAGCUGAAAUCAGUCGAAGAUACCAGCUGGCUGCAACUGUUUAUUAAAAACACAGCACUGUGCAAACACGAAAGUGGACGUAUACGGUGUGACGCCUGCCCGGUGCCGGAAGGUUAAUUGAUGGGGUUAGCGGCAACGCGAAGCUCUUGAUCGAAGCCCCGGUAAACGGCGGCCGUAACUAUAACGGUCCUAAGGUAGCGAAAUUCCUUGUCGGGUAAGUUCCGACCUGCACGAAUGGCGUAAUGAUGGCCAGGCUGUCUCCACCCGAGACUCAGUGAAAUUGAACUCGCUGUGAAGAUGCAGUGUACCCGCGGCAAGACGGAAAGACCCCGUGAACCUUUACUAUAGCUUGACACUGAACACUGGUCCUUGAUGUGUAGGAUAGGUGGGAGGCUUUGAAGCGUGGACGCCAGUCUGCGUGGAGCCAACCUUGAAAUACCACCCUUUAAUGGCUGGUGUUCUAACGUGGACCCGUAAUCCGGGUUGCGGACAGUGUCUGGUGGGUAGUUUGACUGGGGCGGUCUCCUCCCAAAGAGUAACGGAGGAGCACGAAGGUUGGCUAAUCCUGGUCGGACAUCAGGAGGUUAGUGCAAUGGCAUAAGCCAGCUUGACUGCGAGCGUGACGGCGCGAGCAGGUGCGAAAGCAGGUCAUAGUGAUCCGGUGGUUCUGAAUGGAAGGGCCAUCGCUCAACGGAUAAAAGGUACUCCGGGGAUAACAGGCUGAUACCGCCCAAGAGUUCAUAUCGACGGCGGUGUUUGGCACCUCGAUGUCGGCUCAUCACAUCCUGGGGCUGAAGUAGGUCCCAAGGGUAUGGCUGUUCGCCAUUUAAAGUGGUACGCGAGCUGGGUUUAGAACGUCGUGAGACAGUUCGGUCCCUAUCUGCCGUGGGCGCUGGAGAAUUGAGGGGGGCUGCUCCUAGUACGAGAGGACCGGAGUGGACGCAUCACUGGUGUUCGGGUUGUCAUGCCAAUGGCACUGCCCGGUAGCUAAAUGCGGAAGAGAUAAGUGCUGAAAGCAUCUAAGCACGAAACUUGCCCCGAGAUGAGUUCUCCCUGAGACUUUAAGUCUCCUGAAGGAACGUUGAAGACGACGACGUUGAUAGGUCGGGUGUGUAAGCGCAGCGAUGCGUUGAGCUAACCGAUACUAAUGAACCGUGAGGCUUAACCUU